AUUGAACGCUGGCGGAAUGCUUUACACAUGCAAGUCGAACGGCAGCACGGGGGCAACCCUGGUGGCGAGUGGCGAACGGGUGAGUAACACAUCGGAACGUGCCCAGUCGUGGGGGAUAACGUAGCGAAAGCUACGCUAAUACCGCAUACGAUCUACGGAUGAAAGCGGGGGAUCGCAAGACCUCGCGCGAUUGGAGCGGCCGAUGGCAGAUUAGGUAGUUGGUGGGGUAAAGGCUCACCAAGCCGACGAUCUGUAGCUGGUCUGAGAGGACGACCAGCCACACUGGGACUGAGACACGGCCCAGACUCCUACGGGAGGCAGCAGUGGGGAAUUUUGGACAAUGGGCGGCAAAGCCUGAUCCAGCCAUUCCGCGUGCAGGAUGAAGGCC
rnacentral:rRNA from 1 species